CAGUCAUAGCCAGGGCUGUAAAACGUCUUCUCAACAGGCCAGCAUACGAUUGAGGGGGCUCAUGCAUGUGGAUUCAGGGUUGCAUGGCAGCGGAGUGGAGUGACUGUCUAAUAAAAGGAUGAGAGGAUUACGGCUGUGAUGAAUGACUCCGUCUGUUCACAUUCUUACAUUUGAAUCAGCCUUCUCCUGUCACAGAACCUGCAGAAAAUAAGGCUAAUCUGCUGUUACCAAAGGCAACUUCUGAAUGACAUACUGGGUUGGCAGGGGUCGCUUGUAGACUCUCACACUGGACCAGGAUAAUGAGACUGUCCCGCUGUCAAGCAUCUGUGGCCCUGCUCUAGUUUUCCUUCGACACACACUUAAGUACACACAUACAAAUACACACAUGCACACAUACACACACACACACACACAUGUCCAGGUUUUUUUAGGCAGUCACAAAGUAAAUCUAUGUAAAUGAAUGUAAAAUGUAUUUUACAUUUUAGCAGUAAAGCCUGUGUUAGAUUGAUGACUAGUACUGUGUGUGUGUGUGUGUGUGUGUGUGUGUGUGUAUGAGGCCCUUUGGGUGUCUGCUUGUGAAUGUGUGUCUCAAUGCUAAGGUGUAGUUUUGGCAGGAGAGAGAUUAAGUGCAUUCAUCUUCAUUUGCAGGCUGGUGUUGGCUGUGUUACCUGCUGGAACAGCAACGCUCUGCUUCCCUCCAGAGACUCAGACCACCGAUUCAGCGCUGAAAACAGAGCCAGACACAUCACUCGCUUCAUAUCUCUCUCUCCCUUUCCCUCCCUCCCUCCCUCUCUCUCUCUCUCUCUCUCUCUCUGCCCUCUUUCAUUAGUCUCUUCCUUGCUUCUCAUUCAUAUUCUGCUCAGCAUCUGUCCCUCUUGUCCCACAUAUACAAAUGUCUCCUCCUUUUGUUACAAUCUGACUUGGUGUCACUGUGACAUUUGACAAAUAGCAUAACAAAUAACAUGCACUUUGAAUGAUGAUGUUCACACCAGUGAUUACGGCUUAUAAAGCAGCUGUCAGAUCUGCACGAGCACACAGGCAUGCGCAUGUUUUGCACCCAUAUAAAGCACUUUUCCCCGUGUCAAAAGUGGAGCCACUUUUGACAUUACACUAAUGACUUAUUGAAUACGUCAUUAUUUCCCCAUAUUAUUAUGUCAGAGCUGGGAAAAUUAAAAUCGACUGCCCUACUUUAUCACCAUGCCUGCCUUUUUGUGCAAAUGAGACUAGCAGUGAUAAAAGAGAAGUGCAACACUUGCAGAUGAAAAUGCCCCCAAACUCACCCUUUCUGAUGUCUUGCCUCAGUGUAUGACUCCUGAAGGAAGUGUUAUAGAAGAUGGUGGGGUUUGGGUAGGUGGCAGCGGGCCAGAGGUGUCAAAACAUACAGUACACUAAUGCAUGAGCUCCUGUCUGAUGUGUGGCUGGUUUUUUUUUUUGCGUACGUGAAAAUGAAUUGCAUAGAUUUGUAUGUGUGGCUCUGGGAGUGAUGGAAAGCCACAUUCUAUUACUGUUGUGAGUGAAAGGGUGAGGGAAACAAUAUGAGACAGGAGCGCUUGUGUAUUUCAGAUGCCACCUUGAAUUAGGCAGCUGAAGAUUACCAGCAGAAAUUGAAAGUGUUUGACUUAGAAAAAGUAUUCAUGAGAAAAGAACACAACAGCUAAGGUGAAACUGCACCAUUGUUUAGUGCGAUUGAAUAAAAUGAGAAGAGAUACAAUAAAAAGAAGUGAGAUUUAAAAGAAAAAAGAAAACGCAGGAUCAGAGGUGCUUUGAGGCUAAACCACAAAAAUGAUGGCAAAGUGAGAUUGCAGGAAAGAGGACUGUUUCUGUUUUCAGCCAUGUAUGAAUGUGCAUCAUUUGCCUCCAGUGCAAAGAGGGUGAAGUGCAGAGUUUUUCAUUCAGGUUGUUGAAUAGAUAAUUACACAAGGGCCAAGUCUAAAAGCAUUACCUUUUCUUGCCUACUGUAUUAACAAAGUUGAGGUAAACCUCCCCAACAAACUAAAAAACACACAAAAACAUAUUUUGAGAUGUUUGAUUUGAGAUGAUUAAUUGAUUAAUAAAGUUCUUCCUGUACAGUCGA